UACGGAGGGUGCAAGCGUUAUCCGGAUUUACUGGGUUUAAAGGGUGCGCAGGCGGAUAUGUAAGUCAGUGGUGAAAUCUCCGGGCUUAACCCGGAAACUGCCGUUGAUACUAUAUAUCUUGAAUGCCGUGGAGGUAAGCGGAAUAUGUCAUGUAGCGGUGAAAUGCUUAGAUAUGACAUAGAACACCGAUUGCGAAGGCAGCUUACUACACGGAGAUUGACGCUCAUGCACGAAAGCGUGGGGAUCAAACAG
rnacentral:rRNA from 1 species